UACGAAGGGGGCUAGCGUUGCUCGGAAUGACUGGGCGUAAAGGGCGCGUAGGCGGUCUGCUAAGCGUGUGGUGAAAGCUCGGGGCUCAACCCCGAGUCUGCCAUGCGAACUGGUGGACUGGAGCACUGUAGAGGCAGGUGGAAUUCCGGGUGUAGCGGUGGAAUGCGUAGAGAUCCGGAAGAACACCAGUGGCGAAGGCGGCCUGCUGGGCAGUUGCUGACGCUGAGGCGCGACAGCGUGGGGAGCAAACAGG
rnacentral:rRNA from 1 species